rnacentral:rRNA from 1 species
GGGUUGUGAGGUUAAGCGAAUAAGCGUACACGGUGGAUGCCUAGGCAAUCAGAGGCGAUGAAGGACGUGCUAAUCUGCGAAAAGCGUCGGUAAGGUGAUAUGAACCGUUAUACCCGACGAUAUCCGAAUGGGGAAACCCAGUAUCCAAUGGAUACUAUCAUUAACUGAAUCCAUAGGUUAAUGAGGCGAACCGGGAGAACUGAAACAUCUCAGUACCCCGAGGAAAAGAAAUCAACCGAGAUUCCCCUAGUAGCGGCGAGCGAACGGGGAGCAGCCCAGAGUCUUAAUCAAUAGCAGUGUCAGGAGAACGGUCUGGAAAGUCCGGCAGUAAAGGGUGAUAGCCCCGUAUCUGAAGAUGCUGUUAUUGUGAACUCGACGAGUAGGGCGGGACACGUGUUAUCCUGUCUGAAUAUGGGGGGACCAUCCUCCAAGGCUAAAUACUCCUGAUUGACCGAUAGUGAACCAGUACCGUGAGGGAAAGGCGAAAAGAACCCCGGCGAGGGGAGUGAAAAAGAACCUGAAACCGUGUACGUACAAGCAGUAGGAGCCGUUGGGCAAUAUCAGGACGAUCACGUCGAAGUAAUCGACUCGAUACCCCUUUAAGGCUGUUAACCAGAUUAGAUAUCGCCAGUUUUGGCGGGUAAUUAAUCAGUAAAUGAACGUGAUCCCGUUCCCCAUCCAUUUCAACCAGUUCAACAUCAAAAUCAGCACAAACACUGGCAAAGUAGCCUCGCAAUUUUUCAAUUGCAUCCUGAUCAAAUAUUUUUCGCCGGUAUUUUGUGACAAAGACCAAAUGGACGUGCAUCAGGAAUACACAAUGUCUGCCACGGCGAAUAUUAGUUUCAUUUUUCAUAGACCAAAGUAUAAUAGGUAAUAUGAAACGUCUACAAGCCUUUAAAUUCCAGUUAAGACCCAAUGGUCAGCAAGAGCGUGAGAUGAGACGCUUUGCAGGGGCUUGUCGUUUUGUUUUCAAUCGGGCAUUAGCACGUCAGAAUGAGAAUUACGAAGCAGGGAAUAAAUACAUUCCCUAUACAAAAAUGGCUUCAUGGCUCAUUGAGUGGAAAUCUGACACAGAGACACAAUGGUUGAAGGAAGCCCCAUCACAACCGUUACAACAGUCACUUAAAGAUUUGGAACGGGCUUACAAGAAUUUUUUCCAGAUGGGGUGACUGCGUACCUUUUGUAUAAUGGGUCAGCGACUUAUAUUCUGUAGCAAGGUUAACCGUAUAGGGGAGCCGUAGGGAAACCGAGUCUUAACUGGGCGAAUGAGUUGCAGGGUAUAGACCCGAAACCCGGUGAUCUAUCCAUGGGCAGGUUGAAGGUUGGGUAACACUAACUGGAGGACCGAACCGACUAAUGUUGAAAAAUUAGCGGAUGACUUGUGGAUGGGGGUGAAAGGCCAAUCAAACCGGGAGAUAGCUGGUUCUCCCCGAAAGCUAUUUAGGUAGCGCCUCGUGAAUUCAUCUUCGGGGGUAGAGCACUGUUUCGACUAGGGGGUCAUCCCGACUUACCAACUCGAUGCAAACUGCGAAUACCGAAGAAUGUUAUCACGGGAGACACACGGCGGGUGCUAACGUCCGUCGUGAAGAGGGAAACAACCCAGACCGCCAGCUAAGGUCCCAAAGUCAUGGUUAAGUGGGAAACGAAGUGGGAAGGCUCAGACAGCCAGGAUGUUGGCUUAGAAGCAGCCAUCAUUUAAAGAAAGCGUAAUAGCUCACUGGUCGAGUCGGCCCGCGCGGAAGAUGUAACGGGGCUAAACCAUGCACCGAAGCUGCGGCAGCGAACCCCAUCAAUUAACCUUCCAGCACCGGGCAGGCGUCACACCGUAUACGUCCACUUUCGUGUUUGCACAGUGCUGUGUUUUUAAUAAACAGUUGCAGCCAGCUGGUAUCUUCGACUGGCUUCAGCGCCGUCCGCAAGGGACUUUACCUACCGCCAGCGUGCCUUCUCCCGAAGUUACGGCACCAUUUUGCCUAGUUCCUUCACCCGAGUUCUCUCAAGCGCCUGAGUAUUCUCUACCUGACCACCUGUGUCGGUUUGGGGUACGAUUGUUGGUAACCUGAAGCUUAGAGGCUUUUCCUGGAAGCGGGGCAUCAAUUGCUUCACCACCUUGGUGGUUCGUCAUCACAUCUCAGCAUUAAGUGACCGGAUUUGCCUAAUCACUCUGCCUACCUGCUUGAACCGGGACGACCGUCGCCCGGACAACCUAGCCUUCUCCGUUCCCCCAUCGCAGUUACCACCAGUACGGGAAUAUUAACCCGUUUCCCAUCGACUACGCUUUUCAGCCUCGCCUUAGGGGUCGACUCACCCUGCCCCGAUUAACGUUGGACAGGAACCCUUGGUCUUCCGGCGUGCGGGUUUUUCACCCGCAUUAUCGUUACUUAUGUCAGCAUUCGCACUUCUGAUACCUCCAGCAUACCUCACAGUACACCUUCGCAGGCUUACAGAACGCUCCCCUACCCAACGCGAAGCUCCUGAUCGAAGCCCCAGUAAACGGCGGCCGUAACUAUAACGGUCCUAAGGUAGCGAAAUUCCUUGUCGGGUAAGUUCCGACCUGCACGAAUGGCGUAAUGAUGGCCAGGCUGUCUCCACCCGAGACUCAGUGAAAUUGAACUCGCUGUGAAGAUGCAGUGUACCCGCGGCAAGACGGAAAGACCCCGUGAACCUUUACUAUAGCUUGACACUGAACAUUGAGCCUUGAUGUGUAGGAUAGGUGGGAGGCUUUGAAGUGUGGACGCCAGUCUGCAUGGAGCCAACCUUGAAAUACCACCCUUUAACGUUUGAUGUUCUAACCUAGGCCCAUAAACUGGGUCGGGGACCGUGUCUGGUGGGUAGUUUGACUGGGGCGGUCUCCUCCUAAAGAGUAACGGAGGAGCACGAAGGUUGGCUAAGCAUGGUCGGACAUCAUGCGGUUAGUGCAAAGGCAUAAGCCAGCUUGACUGCGAGAGUGACGGCUCGAGCAGGUACGAAAGUAGGUCUUAGUGAUCCGGUGGUUCUGAAUGGAAGGGCCAUCGCUCAACGGAUAAAAGGUACUCCGGGGAUAACAGGCUGAUACCGCCCAAGAGUUCAUAUCGACGGCGGUGUUUGGCACCUCGAUGUCGGCUCAUCACAUCCUGGGGCUGAAGUAGGUCCCAAGGGUAUGGCUGUUCGCCAUUUAAAGUGGUACGCGAGCUGGGUUUAGAACGUCGUGAGACAGUUCGGUCCCUAUCUGCCGUGGGCGUUGGAAGAUUGAGAGGGGUUGCUCCUAGUACGAGAGGACCGGAGUGAACGCACCACUGGUGUUCGGGUUGUCAUGCCAAUGGCAUUGCCCGGUAGCUAAGUGCGGAAGAGAUAACCGCUGAAAGCAUCUAAGCGGGAAACUUGCCUCGAGAUGAGUCUUCCCUCGAUAA